rnacentral:rRNA from 1 species
UACGUAGGUGGCAAGCGUUGUCCGGAUUUACUGGGCGUAAAGAGCGCGCAGGCGGUCAGAUAAGUCGAUUGGGAAAGCCCCCGGCUCAACUGGGGAGGGUCAUUCGAUACUGUUCGACUCGAAGGCAGGAGAGGGAAGUGGAAUUCCCGGUGUAGUGGUGAAAUGCGUAGAUAUUGGGAGGAACACCAGUGGCGAAGGCGGCUCACUGGACCGGUUCUGACGCUGAGGCGCGAAAGCGUGGGGAGCAAACGGG